rnacentral:lncRNA from 1 species
GUUUAUAUAAAAUUAAAACAUUAAAGUUAUAAAUUUAUAUAAAAUUAAAAUAUUAAAAUUUUUAAGUUAUAAACUAAUAACGCAUUGAAACACUGUCAGACAAGUGAAGUUACUUUAACCACCAACUUAAAUGUGCUGUUAUCAGUUAGCUACAUCUCUCUUCCAUGAUUUGCAAUACACUUACAUAUAUAUAAAUGUAAUGCAGAUGAUAAACUCUGAAACAUAGGUGACUCCUGAUUAGGAACUGUUGUCCAUCAGAAGUACUUAGUUUUCACAAAUUCUCCACUCACUGAUUUGUGUGAAACCUUGAUCUCAGAUUUGGAGGGAAAGUAAGUACAAGGUGCCAAGGCCUUUUGCCCAAGGGUUGGAGCAAUCAGACGUGUCUCUGAGAGGCCCAGGUCAAUCUAGCAUUCCUCUGAGACACGGACCUGGGCUAUCUGUGUCUGACAGUGGACUGGAAAGGCAGAGGAAGUCAACAGCUGGUUGUUACCAUUGAAGAAUUCAAGGAAAACUUAGUUUGAAGCCUGGUGCAUUUCUACCAGAGGUUAAAGUUUUAAAAGAGGGCAAAAGAAGGAAUUUAUAAUGAUUUCUCUUUCAAUGGUUGAAAAUCCUUCCAGCUGUCUAGUUUUUUUAAUUUUUAUAAAUUGAAAGAUAUUGAUUUCUAUCAGUAUUUUGCCUGAAUAUCUACUAUGAAGCAUGGAAUAAAAUUUCAUUUUUUUGUGAAAUAGGAAAAAAAAAAAAAAAAGGAAACACUGGUACCUGCUCAUUGAACAACCAGUAUAGGAAAAUAAAAUUUAAAAAAGCAACUGUACUCUAUAUGAUUUGGGAUUAUGUUUUUGGUCAUACAUAAUUUACUGGUUCCAUUCAUAUUUAACCCUCCAUCCUACUCAAACCUAUUUUUCAGGAGCUGCCUGAAUGUCAGUGGUGAUUUUGUACAUUUUACAGUCACUUUCAGAAAGUGGGGUAUCUACGGGGCUGGAAUACAAGACAACCAACACAGAGUGAAGGUUAAAUAGAACUAGAAUUUAUUAAGAAUAUUCUAUGUAGAAAGAAUAUUUUAAUUCAAACUAAAGCAUCCUAUUGAAUGGGGAAAAGUUGGAAGCAUUUCCACUGAAAUCUGGCACCAGGCAGGGAUGCCCACUCUCACCACUGCUAUUUAACAUAGUUCUGGAAGUUUUAGCCAGAGCCAUCAGACAAGAAAAAGAAAUCAAAGGAAUACAAAUCAAGAAGGAAGAAGUCAAAC